UACGGAGGGUGCAAGCGUUAUCCGGAUUUACUGGGCUUAAAGGGUGUGUAGGCGGUCUGUUAAGUCAGUGGUGAAAUCUCCGGGCUCAACCCGGAAACUGCCAUUGAUACUAAUGGUCUUGAAUUUUGUUGAGGUAGGCGGAAUAAGUCAUGUAGCGGUGAAAUGCAUAGAUAUGACUUAGAACACCAAUUGCGAAGGCAGCUUGCUAAACAAAUAUUGACGCUGAGGCACGAAAGCGUGGGGAUCAAACAGG
rnacentral:rRNA from 1 species